GUCGAGCGCGAAAGCACUUCGGUGUGAGUAGAGCGGCGGACGGGUGAGUAACGCGUAAGAAUCUACCUAGUAGUGGGGGACAACUCGAGGAAACUCGAGCUAAUACCGCAUACGCCCUACGGGGGAAAGCGGGGGACCUUCGGGCCUCGCGCUAUUAGAUGAGCUUGCGUUGGAUUAGCUUGUUGGUGAGGUAAUGGCUCACCAAGGCUACGAUCCAUAGCUGGUCUGAGAGGAUGAUCAGCCACACCGGGACUGAGACACGGCCCGGACUCCUACGGGAGGCAGCAGUGGGGAAUAUUGCACAAUGGGGGAAACCCUGACGCAGCCAUGCCGCGUGUGUGAAGAAGGCCUUAGGGUUGUAAAGCACUUUCAAUUGGGAGGAAAAGUUAACGACUAAUACUCGUUAGCCUUGACGUUACCUUUAGAAGAAGCACCGGCUAACUCCGUGCCAGCAGCCGCGGUAAUACGGAGGGUGCAAGCGUUAAUCGGAAUUACUGGGCGUAAAGCGCGCGUAGGCGGCUUUUUAAGUCGGAUGUGAAAGCCCCGGGCUCAACCUGGGGACUGCAUCCGAUACUGGAAGGCUAGAGUGCGAGAGAGGGAGGUAGAAUUCCAUGUGUAGCGGUGAAAUGCGUAGAUAUAUGGAGGAAUACCAGUGGCGAAGGCGGCCUCCUG
rnacentral:rRNA from 1 species